CCUCCCUCCCUACAGACGCCUGUGCCCCCCAGUGCCCUGAGAAUGACGUCCAAGCCCCCAGUGGAGAUGUCAAGGCUGUUCGGUCUGUCCCUCCCCAUCCUGUUCUGCUGCCUGGUCUUCCAAACUUGAACCCCAGGCGACUCCUUCAAGCAUCAGACCUCUGCCCCUGCACCCCUCCCACCUCUCUGUGAUGGGCUGGCCCCUCCCUUCUGCUGCCUCCCCUCCCUCCUUCCUGCUCCCACCCCUGUCUCUCCCUGGUGCUGCCCCUUAGAGAAGCCUCUUGGACCUUUAGCCUGGUCACUCCUCUGAGCCCCUCGUCUCCAGGUGUGGUCUAAGAAGUGCUUUCAGCCCCUCUACUCCAGUGGCUCGGGGGCUCUGACCAGCCCUCCUGCCCAGGAAGCUUUGAGCUUUCCCACAGGGACCCCUAGAGACAAGGGCACUGCUGUCCAGAUGGCACCCUCACCCCAACCCCAGCAGCACUGGCUGGAGCAGGCCAGGCCUGUGUGGGUAUCUGAACAGGCACUGAAUUCCGUGAUCUCAACAAAAGAAGCCCAUGGAGGCCUUUUCUAAUCCGCAGCCCAAGACAACAGGCCUGGGGGGCUGUGGGCUGACUCCCACGCCUUAGGACCAGGGGCUCUGGGGCUGUUGGGGCUGGAACCCCGAAUCCCGAACCCCGCCUCCCAGCAUAAUGAACACCAGCUCAUUGUUCACAGUGAAUACCCAGCAAAACCCUGCUCAGGCAAGGAGCCCGCCCCCCGCACCUGCUGCUCCAACAGACCAGGCUGGCUGCUGGCUCCCAGCUCAUUAAAUCAGCAACCCUUGCACUCCCUCCAAAGCCCUGGUGGGGGAAGGGGAUUCUUCCACUCUGAUGACACCCGUUGCCUUCUCCCUUCACUCCUGUGAGCUGGCCAGGCUGAGGACCGGUCCAAGGGGCCUGGGAAGUAAGACACUCCACGGCUUCUCAAAGGUCAGCCGACACGGACGGUAGCUUCGGUGAGUUAGCUUCCCGUGAUGUGUUGGAUGCAUGGGGAGCUGGUGACAACAGCCUGUGUGUGUGACAAUGUCAAGAACUACAUACAAAGACACAGCUGUCCCCCAAAAUGAGUCUGCACAGCCCGGUGCAAUGCGGCCGCAGCCUGUCAUCGAGUCAAUUGCAUUGUCAUCUGCCGCUCUCCUGAUGUAGGUUCUGUGUUUGUCCAUUUUGCACUGCUAUGAAGGAAUACCUGAGGCUGGGUAAGUUGGCAGGCGCCUGUAGUUGCAGCUACUUGGGAGGCUGAGGCAGGAGAAUGGCAUGAACCCGGGAGGUGGAGCUUGCAGUGAGCUGAGAUCGCACCACUGCAAUCCAGCCUG
rnacentral:lncRNA from 1 species